GGUGGUAUAGCUCAAGUAGUAGAGAACAUGGUUAGCAUGCAUGAGGUCCUGGGUUCAAUCCCUAGUACCUCCA
rnacentral:tRNA from 1 species